UGAACGCUGGCGGCAGGCCUAACACAUGCAAGUCGAACGGUAACAGGAAGCAGCUUGCUGCUUCGCUGACGAGUGGCGGACGGGUGAGUAAUGUCUGGGAAGCUGCCUGAUGGAGGGGGAUAACUACUGGAAACGGUAGCUAAUACCGCAUAAUGUCGCAAGACCAAAGAAGGGGACCUUCGGGCCUCUUGCCAUCGGAUGUGCCCAGAUGGGAUUAGCUUGUUGGUGGGGUAACGGCUCACCAAGGCGACGAUCCCUAGCUGGUCUGAGAGGAUGACCAGCCACACUGGAACUGAGACACGGUCCAGACUCCUACGGGAGGCAGCAGUGGGGAAUAUUGCACAAUGGGCGCAAGCCUGAUGCAGCCAUGCCGCGUGUAUGAAGAAGGCCUUCGGGUUGUAAAGUACUUUCAGCGGGGAGGAAGGGAGUAAAGUUAAUACCUUUGCUCAUUGACGUUACCCGCAGAAGAAGCACCGGCUAACUCCGUG
rnacentral:rRNA from 1 species